CUGGUUGAUCCUGCCAGUAGUCAUAUGCUUGUCCCAAAGACUAAGCCAUGCAUGUCUAAGCAAAAGCCUUAAUACGGUGAAGCCGCGAAUAGCUCAUUACAACAGCCGUAGUUUAUUGGAUCUAAUCCUACUUGGAUACCUGUGGUAAUUCUAGAGCUAAUACACGCAAAAAGCCUGAACCUCUGGGACGGGUGCAUUUAUUAGAACAAAACCAAUCGGCCCUGCCGUCAUUUGGUGAAUCUGAAUAACUCAGCUGAUCGCACGGUCUUGUACCGGCGACAUGUCUUUCAAGUGUCUGCCUUAUCAACUUUCGAUGGUAGUUUAUGUGCCUACCAUGGUUGUAACGGGUAACGGAGAAUAAGGGUUCGACUCCGGAGAGGGAGCCUGAGAAAUGGCUACCACAUCCAAGGAAGGCAGCAGGCGCGCAAAUUACCCACUCUCAGCAUGAGGAGGUAGUGACGAAAAAUAACGAGGUGGGCCUCUACGAGGUUCACCAUCGGAAUGGGUACAAUCCAAACCCUUUAACGAGGAUCUAUUGGAGGGCAAGUCUGGU
rnacentral:rRNA from 1 species